AGAGUUUGAUCAUGGCUCAGGAUAAACGCUGGCGGCGUGCCUAACACAUGCAAGUCGAACGCCCUCGGGCAACCGAGGGAGUGGCGGACGGGUGAGUAGCACGUGGGGAUCUACCUUGAGGUGAGGAAUACCGGCGAGAAAUCGCCGACAAGACCGCAUACGCUUCACGCUCGCACGAGCGAGAAGCAAAGUCGCAAGAC
rnacentral:rRNA from 1 species